rnacentral:rRNA from 1 species
GACGAACGCUGGCGGCGUGCCUAAUACAUGCAAGUUGAGCGCUGAAGGUUGGUACUUGUACCAACUGGAUGAGCAGCGAACGGGUGAGUAACGCGUGGGGAAUCUGCCUUUGAGCGGGGGACAACAUUUGGAAACGAAUGCUAAUACCGCAUAAAAACUUUAAACACAAGUUUUAAGUUUGAAAGAUGCAAUUGCAUCACUCAAAGAUGAUCCCGCGUUGUAUUAGCUAGUUGGUGAGGUAAAGGCUCACCAAGGCGAUGAUACAUAGCCGACCUGAGAGGGUGAUCGGCCACAUUGGGACUGAGACACGGCCCAAACUCCUACGGGAGGCAGCAGUAGGGAAUCUUCGGCAAUGGACGAAAGUCUGCCCGAGCAACGCCGCGUGAGUGAAGAAGGUUUUCGGAUCGUAAAACUCUGUUGGUAGAGAAGAACGUUGGUGAGAGUGGAAAGCUCAUCAAGUGACGGUAACUACCCAGAAAGGGACGGCUAACUACGUG